rnacentral:tRNA from 1 species
GGUAAGAUGGCUGAGUAAAGCAAUAGACUGUAAAUCUAAGGAUGUGGGUUAAGUCCCAUUUUUACCA